UACGUAGGGUGCGAGCGUUGUCCGGAAUUACUGGGCGUAAAGAGCUCGUAGGUGGUUUGUCGCGUUGUUCGUGAAAACUCACAGCUCAACUGUGGGCGUGCGGGCGAUACGGGCAGACUGGAGUACUGCAGGGGAGACUGGAAUUCCUGGUGUAGCGGUGAAAUGCGCAGAUAUCAGAAGGAACACCGGUGGCGAAGGCGGUUCUCUGGGAAUGUUCUGACGCUGAGGCACGAAAGCUAGGGGAGCAAACGGG
rnacentral:rRNA from 1 species